CCUGUCUCGUCUUUCCUCCAAGCUAUACAUGUUAAGAUCCUUUAACCUUUCCUGGUAAGUUUUAUCCUGCAAUCCAUGAACCAGUUUAGUAGCCCUUCUCUAAACUCUCUCUAAAGUAUAAAUAUCCUUCUGAAGAUACGGUCUCCAGUACUGCGUACAAUACUCCAAGUGAGGUCUCACCAGUGUUCUGUACAAUGGCAUGAGCACUUCCCUCUUUCUACUGCUAAUACCUCUCCC